rnacentral:tRNA from 1 species
GCCUCUCUAGCUCAGCGGUAGAGCAGCUGAUUCGUAAUCAGCAGGUCGCCAGUUCGAAUCUGGUGGGAGGCU